rnacentral:rRNA from 1 species
UACCUUGUUACGACUUCACCCCAGUCGCUGACCCUACCGUGGUUAGCUGCCUCCUUGCGGUUAGCGCACUACCUUCGGGUAAAACCAACUCCCAUGGUGUGACGGGCGGUGUGUACAAGGCCCGGGAACGUAUUCACCGCAGCAUGCUGAUCUGCGAUUACUAGCGAUUCCAACUUCAUGCACUCGAGUUGCAGAGUGCAAUCCGAACUGAGAUGGCUUUUGGAGAUUAGCUCG